UCCAAGGAAGCAGCAGGCGCGUAAAUUACUGCAAGUUUACAGAACGAAGUAGUGACGAGAAAUAGCAGUGAGGUGCGCUGUGCGUAUCUCGACUGAAAUGAGAGCGAUUUAAAACCCCCAUCGAGGAUCAAUUGGAGGGCAAGUCUGGUGCCAGCAGCCGCGGUAAUUCCAGCUCCAAUAGCGUAUACUAAAGUUGUUGCAGUUAAAAAGCUCGUAGUCGAACGUGUGGCGUGCGCGCGGGUCCGUCGGGGGGCGAAUGCCCGUCGAGCAGCGACUCGCGCGGUGCCAGUCUGGCACUUUUUUGAGGUGCCUCUUUCACUGUAAAAAAAUUAGGGUGUUUCAAGCAAAGGUUGAUAUUGGAAUAUGAUAGUAUGGGAUGAUGAGAUAGGCCGUUGGCGGUAUUUUGUUGGUUUGCGCGUUGGCGGAAUGAUGAAGAGGGACAGUUGGGGGUAUUCGAAUUCUAGUGUCAGAGGUGAAAUUCUUGGAUUACUAGAAGGCGAACGACUGCGAAAGCAUUUACCAAGGAUGUUUUCAUUGAUCAAGAACGAAAGUAUGGGGAUCGAAGAUGAUUAGAUACCAUCGUAGUCCAUACCGUAAACGAUGCCGACUCGCGAUCGUCCCCUUGCUCUAGUGGCGGGGGGCGGCAGCGCAUGAGAAAUCAAAGUCUUUGGGUUCCGGGGGGAGUAUGGUCGCAAGGCUGAAACUUAAAGGAAUUGACGGAAGGGCACCACCAGGAGUGGAGCCUGCGGCUUAAUUUGACUCAACACGGGGAAACUUACCAGGUCCAGACAUAGGAAGGAUUGACAGAUUGAGAGCUCUUUCUUGAUUCUAUGGKGGGCGGUGCAUGGCCGUUCUUAGUUGGUGGAGUGAUUUGUCUGGUUGAUUCCGUUAACGAACGAGACCACAGCCUACUAAAUAGUGCGCGUUGUGGCGACCCUUUGAGAGGCACUUCUUAUAUGGACACUUUGGGUUUACCAGAGGGAAGUUUGUGGCUAUAACAGGUCUGUGAUGCCCUUAGAUGUUCUGGGCCGCACGCGCGCUACACUGACUGGGGGAGCACGUUGCUUUGUCCCACGACAACGUCCUGGGCCGGAAGGUUUGGGUAAUCGUGUGAAUACCAGUCGUGAUGGGGCUAGAUCUUUGCAAUUAUUGAUCUCCAACGAGGAAUUCCUAGUAAACGCAAGUCAUCAGCUUGCAUUGAUUACGUCCCUGCCCUUUGUACACACCGCCCGUCGCACCUACCGAUUG
rnacentral:rRNA from 1 species